UGGGGAAUUGUUCGCAAUGGGCGCAAGCCUGACGACGCAACGCCGCGUGGAGGAUGAAGAUUUUCGGAUCGUAAACUCCUUUCGAUCGCGACGAAUUGCCUUUGGGAUAACACCCUGGAGGAAUGACGGUACCGAGAGAAGAAGCCCCGGCUAACUCCGUGCCAGCAGCCGCGGUAAUACGGGGGGGGCAAGCGUUGUUCGGAAUUACUGGGCGUAAAGGGCUCGUAGGCGGCCAACUAAGUCAGACGUGAAAUCCCUCGGCUUAACCGGGGAACUGCGUCUGAUACUGGAUGGCUUGAAUUCGGGAGAGGGAUGCGGAAUUCCAGGUGUAGCGGUGAAAUGCGUAGAUAUCUGGAGGAACACCGGUGGCGAAGGCGGCAUCCUGGACCGAGAUUGACGCUGAGGAGCGAAAGCCAGGGGAGCAAACGGG
rnacentral:rRNA from 1 species